rnacentral:lncRNA from 1 species
UUGAUUUUAAUUCUACUACUGUCAUUAUGUCUUCAAGUAUCUCAUCCCUUGCUGUCGGAUGGAAGUGAUUAGCUUGUUCAGUCCUUUGAACUGGGUUGAAGCUGACUGAGAACGGGACAUAGUCUUACGCUUUAAUCCCUAAUUUUUGCCUGGACCGCCUUUUCAGGUUUUCAGUCCACCAGGAUACCCUUUUUUGCCC